AGGAAAGGAGAGGGACAGGGAGGCUAGGGCGACCGAGGAUACGCCGAGGUCUAGUCCGGCUUGGCAGCGCGAGCUAGAGAGCUUGGCGAGCCGCGGGGCUGGGAAGUCAGGGUUUGGGGGCCAGGCCUGCCCUCUGGUGCUUUCGGCUCCUCGGGCCCCCGACUUUAAAGUGCUCAAGUUGGGGUCGGCGCCAUCAUGACGCCUGAGACUGUGAGAAGAAAAUGUUAGUUACAAUUGAUAGAAGAACUAACUCACUCAAGAGCCUGAAGAAAGGAACAGAGCUUCUAGUAUGAGAUGCUGAGACCGUCUCACUGUGAAGGAUGUUCCCUGUCCAUUCUGAUAAGAGGGGGGCUGCACAGCUUGGACUGAUUCAUGUCUCUUGCUUGGAUCCUGCAACAUCUGGUCUACAGUGCAGGAAAUAAGAUAGGCCAGCAUGAGCCGGAAUCAACUGUCUCAUCGGAAUAUGUAUUUUAGCAACUGACUCCUCUAUGAAAGCAACAGUAAAUUAACGGAGUUCAUAGUCCAACAGCUCAAGAUUCUAUCAGUAAUUAGUUGUUGUGAUAUAUUCAUUGACUUGACUGUCCUGAAGCUCGAUUCUGAGUGUGUUCUUCAGGUUGCUUGAGGAAAGGCUAAGAUCUGAGUCAGUGGGCAUUAUGGCUGAUGCUCGGAUAUCAUCUGUAACCCUAUUCCCUUGACAAUGAAUCACACCAAAUUCAAUUAAAAUCUGGCCCAAAUAAGAAGGAGCCUGAAAGUUACCCUCUACAUGAAAAACAAAUCAGGAACUCAGUAGGGAAAGACGCUUGCCUCCUAACCUGACCACCAGGGUUCUAUCCCCUAGGCCAGCAUGGUUGAUGAAAAGACAAACUCCCAUAAGGUCUCCUCUGGCUUCCACACUGUCCUUGGGGUCUGCAUCUGGCCAUACAUACACACGUUACCAAAUUCAAUCUUUCAUUAAUAAAGUUCAUCAAUAAAAGAAGUGAGCAA
rnacentral:lncRNA from 1 species